rnacentral:rRNA from 1 species
AUGACGAAGACGAUGCCGCGUGACUCUUCAGCGAGUGGAGCAUUGGUGCCGAGCGACUCGGCGGCGAUGGCGGCUGCCGCGACGGCGGCGGCGGGGAAACUCCCGUUCCCGCUGCUCACGAGGACUAACUACACGGCGUGGGCGAUGAGGAUGAAGUACCUCCUGCAUGCCAACGGCGCAUGGGCUGCCGUUGAUCGCGAGGCGUCGUCCACGGAGGUCGACAAGGCCAAGGAGGAGAUGGCCAUGACGAUCAUCUCCCAGUCGAUCGACGACACAACGCUGCUGCGAGUUGCGGAGAAGGAGACCGCCGCCGAUGUGUGGGCGGCGCUACGCUCCAUGCACGUGGGCGUCGAGCGCGUCCGAGAGGCGAGGAUUCAGUCCUUGCGCUUGGAGUUUGACGGCCUCAAGAUGGGUGAUGCGGAGUCCGUGGAUGACUUCGCGGCGAGGUUCACGACACUCGUGGGGCGCAUCCGUGAGCUUGGUGAUGCGAUGGAGGAGAAAUACGUCGUGAAGAAGCUGCUCCGAGCCGUCUCCAAUAAGUUCAUCCAUGUUGCGUCGUCAAUUGCGUUGUUCGGCGACACCAACAAGAUGGCCAUGGAGGAGGCCAUUGGUUCACUCAAGGCACAUGAGAAACUCGUCAAGGGGCGUGAGACGGGACGCGAAGAAGAGCAGCUCCUCAUGGCGAGAGGGCAGGACUCGUCACGUGGACGGGGUCGUGGCCGUGGCCGUGCACGCGGUGGAGGCCGCAAACACAAAAGUGAGGUAGAGUGUUAUAAUUGUCAUUAA